AGUGAACGCUGGCGGUAGGCCUAACACAUGCAAGUCGAACGGCAGCACAGUAAGAGCUUGCUCUUACGGGUGGCGAGUGGCGGACGGGUGAGGAAUACAUCGGAAUCUACUUUUUCGUGGGGGAUAACGUAGGGAAACUUACGCUAAUACCGCAUACGACCUACGGGUGAAAGCAGGGGAUCUUCGGACCUUGCGCGAUUGAAUGAGCCGAUGUCGGAUUAGCUAGUUGGCGGGGUAAAGGCCCACCAAGGCUACGAUCGGUAGCGGGCCGGAGAGGAUGACCGGCCAGAUGGGGAAGGAGAUACGGCCCAGACGCGUACGGGGGGGAGCAGUGGGGAAUAUUGAACAAUGGGCGAAAGCCGGGUGCAGCAACGCGGCGUGCGGGAUAACGGCCUUCGGGGUGUAAAAAGCUUUCGCCUGUGACGAAGCGUGAGUGACGGGAAUGGGUAAAGAAGCACCGGCUAAAUACGGG
rnacentral:rRNA from 1 species